rnacentral:lncRNA from 1 species
AAUUGAUUCAACAAACAGUUCUUAGGCACCUACUAUACACUUACUAUGCGGCAGGUGCACAUUGAGUGUAAAGGAAGGAAGGAAAAAAGAUCAUCACUGUGUUCAGAGCUUAAAAAUUUUGCCUACCCAAUUUGAUUCUGCAGUUUAUUUAUUAUUUUCAUUGCUUCUUUCUUAGCUUCAUGGAAGAAUUUACUUGAGGUGAACUUGCGGAAAUGGAAUUAGCCUUAUUUUGCUUAGAGAGUGAGAAGAGGGAACCCAGGAAAAAGAAAACAUCUAGAGAGACCAGGUGCAGGUGACAGCACACGUUGAAAAUUCUCCCAUGGAUUUCCUCCUGAAAAAUGCAUUCUUGCAUUCACUUGUCGUGCCUUCAUUCAUCACACAUCUGGCUGUGACUGUUUGUGUGGUCAACGUAUUUACUGAGAAUAACUCCAAAAUACAGGGAAAUAAUUAGAAAAGAAGAACAGAGGAAAAGGUAAAAACAUGAAAUGGAGGAAAGUAAACGGGUGUCAGCUGAAGUGUUUUUACUUGGAUGGAACAUGACUGGCUACCACUCAUGCAGCUUCCAGUUCACUUUUCCACAUUUGCUUGUGAGCAAUGUGGUUUCAGCUGAUUGAUUUCACUCUCAGCUGUGAUGCUAAGCCCAAGGCAAUCAUGAUAUCCCUCCUUUGACAAUGUGAUGGGCUAAAGAAUAAACAGGUAGCCUCUAAUUCAAGAUAACAUCACAGAGAUCCAUUUACAUUUUCUUGAAGAGGUGAGUCAGUAUAUGAGCCUGUCCUAUUUGGUCUGGCUCAGUUUAUGUGCAGCCUGAAUUUCAUUUUUGAUGGUGGGGGAAAAAGAUGGUCUAUCUUGUUCUGGAUGUUACCCUGGUGGGUAUACAUCACUCGUUACUUUUCCAGCACCAGAAAAACAAUUCUACCGAUGAAAUCAGAUGGACAAGAAAUUAGAGGGAACAAACUCACUGAAGAGUCCAGAUGAAACCACAUUCAAAGCCUGAAUGAAUCCUGGACUUCUCAGUUCUGUUGGUCAAUACACUUUCUUGAGUUUUUUCAGGUCUUCAAAUUGGGGGUCCUCUUGUUGGAGACUGAAAGCAUCCUGCUUACUGCACACAGAUGUUGGGGGACUCAGCUGAUCUCUACUUUUGGUUGUAGCAUUAUUUUACUUCUUUCUUCCUCUUCCUUUCUUCCAGAAAUUAGCUAUUCUCUAAAACUUAUCUCUUUUAUUUUUUUCAUGCCAGUUUUAAACUUUUAACCUGUUUUGGUUUUAACUGUGGCAUGUGGAUAAGCACCUCUCUGGGAUCUUCAUGGAUUUUUGUAAAACCACUGAUGAGGAAUCAAAGUGGUGGUUAUGUUCCUUGAAUAAAUGAGUGAUUUUGAAAAGUUUUCUAUCUUUUUUUCCUCAGUUAAAGGAAGGCAGAACAUAUCCUGUCAGUGCUCUCAGGAAUGUAAAGAUAAUUUUGCACAGGCAUUAAUAAGAAGAUUAAGUAUUUACAAAAUAAGCAAAGUAUGUGAAUAAGCCAUUCACAGAUAAAAAACCCCCAAAGAUAAAAGCAUAUGAAUGAUACUGAAAUCCACUAGUGAUAUGAGAAAUAAAAAUUAAAAGAAAGUAGUAUCAUUUUACAUUACUAACUUGGGAAAAUCAGAAAGCCAGAGAAACCCAGAGUCUGCAGGGAUGGGAACUAGCUGGGAAAUCUCAUGCACUGAUGGUGGUGAAGUGAUUAGGGAGAGCUGUGGCAGUGUCUUAUCUAAUGUGGCAGUAUCUUAUCUAAGUAUGUACACGUUGAACUUGAAAUCCCACUUCUGAACAUACUGUGGCCACAGUUCCAUGAGCGAACAUACAAUGAUGUUGAGCACAACAAUUU